rnacentral:rRNA from 1 species
GACAUCCAGAGAAUUUAGCAGAGAUGCUUUAGUGCCUUCGGGAACUCUGAGACAGGUGCUGCAUGGCUGUCGUCAGCUCGUGUUGUGAAAUGUUGGGUUAACGUCCGCAACGAGCGCAACCCUUAUCCUUUGUUGCCAGCACGUAAUGGUGGGAACUCAAAGGAGACUGCCGGUGAUAAACCGGAGGAAGGUGGGGAUGACGUCAAGUCAUCAUGGCCCUUACGAGUAGGGCUACACACGUGCUACAAUGGCGUAUACAAAGAGAAGCGACCUCGCGAGAGCAAGCGGACCUCAUAAAGUGCGUCGUAGUCCGGAUUGGAGUCUGCAACUCGACUCCAUGAAGUCGGAAUCGCUAGUAAUCGUAAAUCAGAAUGUUACGGUGAAUACGUUCCCGGGCCUUGUACACACCGCCCGUCACACCAUGGGAGUGGGUUGCAAAAGAAGUAGAUAGCUUAACCUUCGGGAGGGCGUUUACCACUUUGUGAUUCAUGACUGGGGUGAAGUCGUAACAAGGUAGGCGUAGUGCU